GGGGAUAUAGCUCAGUUGGUAGAGUGCUUGUCUUGCAUGCACAAGGCCCUGGGUUCAAUCCCUAGUACCACAA
rnacentral:tRNA from 1 species